UGAAAUAUGCCUUUCAUCUUUAAUUAUUAUUUCAUCCAUUAAUUAACUGUUCAUUCAUUCGCUUAACACUUAAUGGCAUUUUGAUUCUAAUAAUUUGUAGGCUUGAAGAAAUAUUACUAGGAACCACCUUCAUCAUGGAUCAUAAGCCUUAUCAUCCAAUUGGGUUUUUUCUUAUUAAUUUUCAACAAUGUGUGUAUGUGGGGGGAAUCUGUUCACAUAUAAAUGUAUUCCCAAACAAAGCAAUUAUUCUUAGUUCAAAAAUUCGUAACUGAUUUAUUUUUUGACAGAAACAAAUAAAAUUUAAUAAAAUACU